AGCGAACGCUGGCGGCAGGCCUAACACAUGCAAGUCGAACGAACUCUUCGGAGUUAGUGGCGGACGGGUGAGCAACACGUGGGAACGUGCCUUUAGGUUCGGAAUAACUCAGGGAAACUUGAGCUAAUACCGGAUGUGCCCUUCGGGGGAAAGAUUUAUCGCCUUUAGAGCGGCCCGCGUCUGAUUAGCUAGUUGGUGAGGUAAAGGCUCACCAAGGCGACGAUCAGUAGCUGGUCUGAGAGGAUGAUCAGCCACAUUGGGACUGAGACACGGCCCAAACCCCUACGGGAGGCAGCAGUGGGGAAUCUUGCGCAAUGGGCGAAAGCCUGACGCAGCCAUGCCGCGUGAAUGAUGAAGGUCUUAGGAUUGUAAAAUUCUUUCACCGGGGACGAUAAUGACGGUACCCGGAGAAGAAGCCCCGGCUAACUUCGUGCCAGCCGCCGCGGUAACAC
rnacentral:rRNA from 1 species